GGGGGGUCUAUGCUGCUGUUGAAGCCAGAGGAGAAACCCUGGAUGAUUUUUAGGGAAGAUCUGCUUUCAGCACAUCAGUGAGACCUUGCUGUCCCCUCCUGGGACAGGAAAAUCUGUUCCCGCAGCAGCGUCUGUGGCAGGCAGUGACAACCGCUGCUGGCCUUUCGCUUGGCACAGGUAGCCUCAGAUAAGGCCCCUGCCUGCACCCCGAGUGCCUCUGCCCUGACUGCUGCUGUAAAUACUGUAAAAAGGAUGUUAAACGCUGUACAGGGGGGAUGUGUUUUUAUAAACGGGAUUUUAAGUCUCUGUGCUUGUCUGUGUGUGUGUGUCCAGGCUUUUCCCAUGGGCUCCUCUCUUCUCCGCAGCUGCCUGCAGGGGUGGGAGCAGGCAUGCCUCUGCUGUGCCCUAGCCCUGGGGUUGCCAGCCAGUGGGGCAUCAGAGAGAUGGGGGGGGGGGGCAGAGGCCUCAGGGAAGCAAAUUAAGCAGCAUUUGUCUGCCUGAAGGGGGGUAGGGGACCCCCUGGUCCUCCCUGCCUGCGGCAGAGCAUGAGGCAAGCUGGGCUACCCUCUGCCUGCGGCUGCUGUGCUCUGAGCUCUGACCCUGCCAGCAGGGAUGGAUGGACAGACAGAGGGAGGGAGCCGGGUCUGCUUGGGGGGGACAUUAGUGAAGCUCCCUGCGUUGUGUCCCCAGGACUCAAACCCUCCUACUGCCUUGUGAGCCCCUGGGAAAAUGCCCUACCUGGUUGGGGCAAACCCUUGUCUGUGAGCUUGGGUCUCCCUGGAGGAAUCCCAGGAGCCGGCAGGGAGCCUGGCUGCUGGAUCCAGCCUGCCUGGUGGCCCUGACCCUGCUGGGGGGGGAAGAGGAGGGCUGGAGCCACGCAGCCAUGGCGGGGGCUCAUCAGGAGCUGCAGGAAGCGAGAGCAGCGCACGCGGGGCUGCCGAGGGACGGGAAGUGGCUAACCGGAGCCAAGGCAACUGCACAGGCCUCCUGCCUGCACCUUUUUCUUCAAGCCCAGCUGCAAACCCAGCCUCUCCAGAAACAGUGGUGGUUAUUUACUAGCAGAGCAGGCACUACUCCAGCAGUAGGUCCCAUACGCUCUUUUCAUAGCGUCUUCGGUAAGCCCCCUUCUCCAGGCUGGAAGCAUUCACCUCCAGCUGUGAUGCCAGAUCUCUUUGCGUCCUGGGGACCCGAACAGCCAGGCUGUGGCAUGGAGGAAGAAGGGAUGGGGUGCCUUUUGCUGGAUGGAGGUGUCCUUCAAGACUUAUGGGGAGGCAGGACAAGCACGCACAUAUCAGGGCUUCUGUCUGUGCACAGAGGCUGAUGGAGCGGGACACGGUCCCUCAGCCUGCCCUGGCUUGAUGUUCUGACCUCCCCAGCCUCUGUGGGUGUAAAAAGAGUCACCAGAGUUCCCCUAAAGAAAUUACAGGUUGAAUUUCCUUCAUCACACCCCACUGACUGGGUUAGCCCUGAGAAAGGCACGAGGUGAGGUGUUUCUUCACUAAAAUACCAUGGCAAAGAGCUGUUGCUCUUGCUGAGCUUAAAACCUAGUAGCAAGAGGGGCUCGACAUCUAACUGCAGAAAGAUUUGGGUCAGGACCUCAGUAGUCCCACCAAAAGUUCUUCAUCCUCAUGUAACCAUGGCUCUCCGGUCCUCUCCCGAGUGCUGAGCUCCGCCAGCUCCAGCUGGGGUUUCUCCUCCAGCAACCAGGAGGACACUCGUGUGGUGCUGCCCAGGGCUGUGUGUGCUUGGGGACGCCUGUGCCACGCUGCAUUUCAGAGGGGAACCACAUCCUUCUGGGGAAGGGAAGUCCCUGGCUGCCCAGACAGCCUGGCUGUGGUGAUGCAAGAGGCUCUAACUAUUUUGGGAGAUAACCUAAGCCUGGGGAUGCCGUCUGCUGCUUCCUUUCUUUCCUGACAAGCCCUCUCAUGUGUUUUGAGGGGAGAUCUUUCCACAUUUAUGGGAAAGGAGAAGUAGGACCCUUGCACGUCCUGACUUAAAAGCAUAUUUUCCAGUAUGCUUUUUGGCUGGAGGUAGAGAGUGGGGGGGGGGGGGGGCCGGGCAGGCACAGCUCUCAUUGUAGUUCACAUUUCCCCCCCAAAAGCCCAGCUCAUCUCUCCUCACCAGCCCAGACCCCAGCUCAUCCCAUGCUGGUUUGAGGGUGUGAGAUUCCCCCCUCCCAGGGCUGGCCGGCUGGCAGCAGUGAGGGGAGCGCCCCUGGGGGUCCCAUCCUGGGGGGAGCGGGAAGGAGCACCGGCUCUGCGGGACCUGACCGUGAGCUGCAUCCCUGCUCCAACCAGUGCCUGAAGGACCACCCCAGUGUGAAUCCCUUCAGUGCUCAAAUUCAUCCCCGCAGCGCACAGUGGGAUGCUGGCUCCAACCCGCGUCCCUCCAGGCUGCAGAGAGUACUGGUGUCAACCAGAGCUGUGGGUCUUGCUCCUGCUUUACACCCUCCGCUCUGAUUUCCACCACCAGUACCCUAAGGAAACCCCAAGGAUGUUCCCCACCUCUGGGUGCCUCGGGGCAGCCCCUGGGAAGGUCAACAGUGACCUGGCAGUCCAUGGAGACAGCAUGCUAUCCUUAAGAGCUGCCAGGGCAGGCAAUGGGCCAGGUUUGUCCAGGGUGGCCUGGAGGCUUGUGCCUGCAGACCAGGCUGCAGAAGAGGGCUGGGAGGUUUCCUCAGCAGUGGUGCAACUGUGGUCAGUGUGGAGUGGGUGCUUUCCCCCCCAGGGAUGCCAGCAUCCCCGGAUGAGAGGAGACAAGCUUCUCCAGGUCCUUGCUGAGGUUUCACCCAGAUGGAGACCGAGGUGGGUGCCUGCAAUCAGAGGGAUUUUGUGGUGGUUUUUUUUUUCCCCCUGGCUGCUGUUCCCCACUCAACCCCCACCUCCUGCUCGUCCAUAGCGAACUGGGCUCUGACUUCAUCCCCCAGGUAUCCAAAGAGACAAUGCUGGCGGUGGCGGCCAGCACGGCAUCCUGUCCCCUCGCCUGCCCGGGUCACUUCCCGGGAUUGUUCUGUUCUGCUCGGACAGGGGCUGGCCACUGGCUGUCCCUGGGGACGGGGAACUGAUGAGCUUCACGUGCUUCUUGGCCAGCGGUAUUUCAUUCGGUGGCAGAGCACGUCUGGGGCACGGGAUGACGGCAGGGAAAGGUUAUCCUGCCUCUCCAGGUUUUCUCCUGCCGCCUUUCCCUCUGCUUCGUUAGGAGCUGCCUUCCUGCUGUCCCCACCAGCAGCAACGUUGGGCAGCCCCGGACUGUGGGGCAGGAGCCCGAUUUCCAUCCCAGCCAAAACCCUUUGGCUGACGUAGCUGAGACCGGCCCAGGUUGGGGCAAGCUCAAGGGAGAACAGAGGAACACAGCUGAUCUGGGCCAGGGCUCCCUGCUGGCUUAGCUGGCAUUAACCUCAUAAUUAAACUCAUUAAACUAAUACCAGGAGGGUCCAGCCCUUUGUCACCAUUCCUUGGCACCAAGCCUGCAUUCAAGCAGGGGGCUAAGCCUGCAAAUAACACUCCUCAACAUAAUCACCCCUGAUUUUCUGCACCCAGAGGCUAGCAGUCUAUUCAUGAAAUGAUCUUUGGACUUGAAAUAUCUUUUUUUUUUUUCCCUUGUAAUUCUUUAUGCUUUGGUUAGCAUGAUGCCCAGCCACAUGCUCCUUUCCUUACU